rnacentral:rRNA from 1 species
CUGGAGACAUGGACAACCCCGGGAACCUGGGAUUAAUCCGAGAUAGGUCAUCCCAUCUGGAAGGAUGGAUGGCUUAAAGGGGCGCGCGGGCUUCUUCUGCUCUUCCGCUCCAGGAUGGGACUGCGUCCGAUCAUGCUGUUGGCGGGGUAAUGGCCCACCAUACCUGUAACCGGUACGGGCCUUGAGAGAGGUGGCCCGGAGAUGGACACUGAGAGAAGGGUCCAGGUCCUACGGGGCGCAGCAGGCGCGAAGGCUUCGCAAUGCGCGAAAGCGUGACGAGGUUAAUCCGAGUGGUCCCCGCUGAGGGGACCUUUUGACAGCUGUAUAUAGGCGGGCGAAUAAGGUGAGGGCAAGCCUGGUGUCAGCCGCCGCGGUAAUACCAGCUCCUCGAGUGGUCGGCGCGAUUAUUGGGCCUAAAGCAUCCGUAGCCGGUUCCGUAGGUCCUCUGUUAAAUCCACCCGCUCAAUGGGUGACCUGCACAGGAUACCGCGGGACUAGGAGGCGGGAGAGGCGGACGGUACUCCGAGUGUUGGGUUAAAAUCCUUUGAUCCUCGCAACA